rnacentral:rRNA from 1 species
CAGCCGCCACGGUAAUACGGAGGGGGCUAGCGUUGUUCGGAAUUACUGGGCGUAAAGCGCACGUAGGCGGCUUGGUAAGUUAGAGGUGAAAGCCUGGAGCUCAACUCCAGAAUUGUCUUUAAGACUGCCGAGCUAGCAGGUGAGAGAGGUAAGUGGAAUUCCGAGUGUAGAGGUGAAAUUCGUAGAUAUUCGGAAGAACACCAGUGGCGAAGGCGGCUUACUGGCUCAUACUGGACGCUGAGGUGCGAAAGCGUGGGGAGCAAACAGGAUUAGAUACCCGCGUAGUCCCUGUCUCUUAUAC